UACGAAGGGGGCAAGCGUUGUUCGGAUUUAUUGGGCGUAAAGAGCUCGUAGGCGGCCUGUCACGUCGGAUGUGAAAGCCCGGGGCUUAACCCCGGGUCUGCAUUCGAUACGGGCAGGCUAGAGUUCGGUAGGGGAGAUCGGAAUUCCUGGUGUAGCGGUGAAAUGCGCAGAUAUCAGGAGGAACACCGGUGGCGAAGGCGGAUCUCUGGGCCGAUACUGACGCUGAGGAGCGAAAGCGUGGGGAGCGAACAGG
rnacentral:rRNA from 1 species